rnacentral:rRNA from 1 species
GACCGAGGGGGCAAGCGUUGCUCGGAAUUACUGGGCGUAAAGCGCGCGCAGGCGGUUUCUCAAGUCAGUGGUGAAAGCCCGGAGCUCAACUCCGGAACUGCCAUUGAAACUGUGAGACUUGAGGACGAGAGAGGUGAGUGGAAUUCCCAGUGUAGAGGUGAAAUUCGUAGAUAUUGGGAAGAACACCGGUGGCGAAGGCGGCUCACUGGCUCGUUUCUGACGCUCAGGCGCGACAGCGUGGGGAUCAAACAGG